rnacentral:tRNA from 1 species
CGGUGUGUAGCGCAGCCUGGUAGCGCACUUCGUUCGGGACGAAGGGGUCGGAGGUUCAAUUCCUCUCACACCGA